rnacentral:rRNA from 1 species
UACGGGGGGGGCAAGUGUUGUUCGGAAUUACUGGGCGUAAAGGGCUCGUAGGUGGCCAACUAAGUCAGACGUGAAAUCCCCAGGCUCAACUUGGGAACUGCGUCUGAUACUGGAUGGCUUGAAUUCGGGAGAGGGAUGCAGAAUUCCAGGUGUAGCGGUGAAAUGCGUAGAUAUCUGGAGGAAUACCGGUGGCGAAGGCGGCAUCCUGGACCGAGAUUGACACUGAUGAGCGAAAGCUAGGGGAGCAAACGGG